rnacentral:rRNA from 1 species
AUUGAACGCUGGCGGCAGGCCUAACACAUGCAAGUCGAACGAGUGGCGGACGGGUGAGUAAUGUCUGGGAAACUGCCUGAUGGAGGGGGAUAACUACUGGAAACGGUAGCUAAUACCGCAUACCAUCAGAUGUGCCCAGAUGGGCUUAGCUAGUUGGUGGGGUACAGGGUCACCAAGGCGACGCUCCCUAGCUGUUCUGAGAGGAUGACCAGCCACACUGGAACUGAGACACGGUCCAGACUCCGACGGGAGGCAGCAGUGGGGAAUAUUGCACAAUGGGCGAAAGCCUGAUGCAGCCAUGCCGCGUGUAUGAAGAAGGCCUUCGGGUUGUAAAGUACUUUCAGCGGGGAGGCGUUACCCGCAGAAGAAGCACCGGCGAACGCCGUGCCAGCAGCCGCGGUAAUUC